CAGCCGCCGCGGUAAUACGAAGGGUGCAAGCGUUAAUCGGAAUUACUGGGAGUAAAGCGCGCGUAGGUGGUUUGGUAAGAUGGAUGUGAAAUCCCCGGGCUCAACCUGGGAACUGCAUCCAUAACUGCCUGACUAGAGUACGGUAGAGGGUGGUGGAAUUUCCUGUGUAGCGGUGAAAUGCGUAGAUAUAGGAAGGAACACCAGUGGCGAAGGCGACCACCUGGACUGAUACUGACACUGAGGUGCGAAAGCGUGGGGAGCAAACAGGAUUAGAUACCCCUGUAGUCCCUGUCUCUUAUAC
rnacentral:rRNA from 1 species